UAUGUACAAACAUCGACUAUGUCGAAUAAAGUUCUAGAUAGAUGACUGAUAAUGACAAUUUUCUAUCUAUAUGUCUUGACCAAGUCUUGUGCCAGCAGUCGCGGCAAUACAAGGAAGACUAGUGUUAUUCAUCUUUAUUAGGUUUAAAGGGUACCUAGACGGUAUAUCUAGCCUCCCAAAGGUACAGAUUUACUAGAGUUUUAUGUGAGAGGCAAAUAUUAGAACCAUUGGUGUAGAGAUGAAAUUUUUUGAUACUAAUGGGACGGAUAACGGCGAAGGCAACCCUCUAUAUACAAACUGACGUUGAGGGACGAAGGCUUGGGGAGCAAAUAGGAUUAGAUACCCUAGUAGUCCAGGCAGAAAAUUAUGAAUGUUAUAGGCUAGACAUAAAGUUGGUUUAUAAAUGAAAGUGCAAGCAUUCCACCUCAAGAGUAAUGUGGCAACACAGGAACUGAAAUCAUUAGACCGUUUCUGAAACCAGUAGUGAAGUAUGUUAUUUAAUUCGAUAACCCUCGAAAAACCUUACCACAAUUUGAAUAAUAUUCACAAUGAUAUUUAUUUGAGUAUUACAAGCGUUGCACGGCUGUCUUCAGUUAAUGUCGUGAGAUUUUGGUUAGAUCCAUUAAAUUAACGUAAACCCUUGCUUUAUUUGAUAUUUAUAAUGCAGUUCACCGCUAUAUUGGACGUGAUAAAAGGGACCAAGACAAGUCAUCAUGACCUUAAUAUUGUGGGCUAUA
rnacentral:rRNA from 1 species